AUCGUUCUCAUAGCCCGCAUUUUGAGCGGUCAGCAGUUGUUGAAGCGCAGGCGCACUAACGCAUUUAUUUGUUUGUCGGAAACAACAAGUGUUCGAAAAGUUUUAUUCAAGUUGCCUAGCCCUAAUCAAUUUGAUACUUUCACCACACCCCCUCGGGCGCUAAAUUUUGGACGAGGCACGUGACCAGCCGCUGCCAGGAUCUUUC